UCGAUUAGCCUAUCUUUUCCUCAUGUCAGAUAUAACCCUCUGGAGCUAUUUCUUAAAACAGUUUAUAUACAUCUGGAAUUAUUAUACCUGUCUGAGUACUUGAAGCUGGCAUUAUUAUCCCAUUCAAAAUAAAAGACAAUGAAUGUAACUUGGUCAAAGUUGUUUCGAAUAAGAUGGAUAUUACAAGGCAAUAUUUCACAAGUGCAAUUCAUGUCUGAUUAAGUCUAACAUGUAUCUAGCACUAUAAAGUACGGUCAUUAUACUUCCAGAACUUUUGUUUCUUGACGUGUAAAGUUGUUUUUUUUUUAUUGCUUAAUGAGUAUGUAUCACCAAGUGACUUCAGUCCUUAAAUACCCUUCGGGAAUAGAAAAGAUUUUUAUGCAAAUUUGGAUCAUCACCUUCUGUAAAUCCUAAUUUGCUUCUCAUCCCAGUCUCCUUCAAGCAAAACACUUGCAUUAAUUUGGUCUAAGUGUAGGAAAAAAAUUAGACCAUUAUCAGUUGAGGAAUUAUUAAGUCUAUAAGUAAAAAUGUCUGAAAGGGCUAAAGGUUACUUCAGCCUGUACAUUCUCUGCAUGUUGUAUAAUAAGCUGACAUUUUAUGUAUGUUAUACAUCCAUCUACCUGAUAUUCAAUGUAUGCUAUAACUGAAAUUCUAUGUAUGCAGUAAAACUUGCUGACAUUCUAUGUACAUGUACUAUGUUGAACAUCUAGCUGACAUUCUAUGUAUGCUGUACAUCUGUAUAUCGCAACUGAACGCAGCGCAGCUUGGUGUUUGUCUCUUCAAAGAUUGAUCCAGAACAUCAAUGUUAUAGAGGUUGGAGAAACAGCAGGGCAAUCAAAGUUAGUGACACGUUUACAAAGGAUGUCAUGAAUGACAUGUGCAGAAUUGAGAAUGGUGUGGUUUUGCUAAAAGGUGAAUGGCCUGCCCUGAGUUGCACAGACCCUAAAGAAAACCAAGAAAAACUCACUGAUUUUAUGAAUGAUGCAACAAAAAAAAGUGAAGACGUAAUUUAAGUAAUGGAGAAGUAUACAUGCUAAAGUCUGGUUAUGUCAAUUUGGAUGUUAUUGUGAUGUACCGGUAGUCAGCUAUUUGUGUGGUUGUUUAUGUGUGAAAUCAGAGAGUAUGUGAGACACGAGACUGUCAAAAAAAGGACAUUUGGAAUGUUGGAGACAAAUGCCUCGAUCGAUUGUCAUGCAGCCAGUGCUCAUGCAGCACUCAUGAAUGGUAUGGUUAAAUUGAACUUUGCCUACUGUGAACUCUGAUUUUUUUUCCAAGUCCGUCUGUGCACUUUGUGUGAUCAAACUGCAAUACAAGUUUCAACAUGCCAGCAUUUUACCUAAUUUGCAUGUUAAAUUGCACAUAAGACUCACAUGAGCAACUCACGUGAGGAAAUCUUGUUAGUCCUCACGUGAGCUGCUCAUGAGCAAAUUGUGAGAAUGUUUUGGUAUGGGUAUGGAUGGUCUUGGUGGUCAAAGCAACAGUUUUUAAAGUGAUUUCAAAAUGAGGGAGACAUAGCCUUGGACUGCAUUACAUAUGGAUGACCUCAACAGAAAUCCUUUAUCACAUAAAUUGAUAGUCCAAAAUAUCUCAAUGUAAAAAGAUUGCAGCUGCAGGUCUGUAGCUUCCGAUCUGAAAAAAUUCAGAUGGACGACCUGAGAGCUUCAGUGCCUCCCAUAAGUAAAGACUGCAAUUUAUGGCCCACAAAAAAAUGCGCUAGUUUUAGGCUAAUUAAUCUUAUUUUCAUACAAAUUCUGUACAACUAUUUGAUUCCAAAAAAAUCUCUAAAACAUUUUAUUACAGAUAUCCUCACUUCACUUAUCUCUGAUAUUCAUUUAAACACCAUCACCAGCCCUGUAAAGUGAAGUGGUGCAGUUUGUUUAUAUGUAAAAAUUUCUUUAAUUGCAAAAUUUCCAUCUGAAUUUCUACAGUAUGUCCCAUAGAAUGAACAAAUGAAAUAUUCCUGCACUAUAUGUUCUAAAUGGCCUUAAGACUUAGAAAUACAUGUAUCUUUAAUUUAUAUUCUGGAUUAUUCUAAAACAUUCCACACACUCAAAACAUCACACCGACAUAAAUGAUCAACCCUGUUCCUAUUUUCACCUUCAAUUUUAGUACACAUAAAUUGUGCUUUCCAUCAAAACUAUUUCAGGAAUUUUCAUGGUUAAAUAGAACUUUGGUGAAACACUGCACAAUUAGGAUCAAGAGUGGAUGACGUAUGCAAUUCUGGGAUUGCACAGGAAUGCUAAGAAAAAAUUAGGAUUUAAAAUCAGCUUAUAGAAACAUGUCACUCCUCAUUACCCUCAGCGAACCUUAACCAAUUCUAGAGAGAUUAAUGGAAUAAUUCCAAGAGCUGGUGCAACUACUUCACUUCACAGGCCUGUCUUCAUCAUUUUGUCGUAUUUCUUCAUUUGUUCAUGUAUAGAUUAAUAGAUCAAAAAUCUAAUUCCCAUUAAACAAAAUAUUUUAAAAUGAAAGAGAAUGUGAGGAAGCUCACAUGUCCCAUGCUACCCUAUUACUCGACAAUGAUACACAUAAUGAGUGGCAAUGUAUGCAUUAAAUACACAAUAUAAUUUGAUAAAGGGCAUAACUAGAAAAAAACCUUCCUGCAAAUAUGCACAUCUAUUCUUUUGGCUCUAACAACUUAAACCACAAUAAGUUCAAAAGGGCCAAAACUCCCAGAAAAAUAUUGAAAUCGGAAAUUCCUGGUAAUAUGCACAUCUACCCAUUUUGUCCUAAAUGCCUACAAAAUUUUACUAAAUUCCAUGCAGCGGCUUAAGAGGAGUUUCACUAAAUUCCAUGCAGCGGAAUGAGGAGUUGCACUUUUUGGACUUGCACUUACAAACUGUUCAUUACCAUAUUUAACACAGGGCAAAAAUUCUAAGUUCAAUAGGGCCAAAAUUCCCAGAAAAAUAAUGGAAUCGGCAUAUCCUGGUAAUGCGCACGAAUAGGCAUAUCCUGGUAAUGUGCACAUCUGAACAUUGUGUCCUAAUACCUACAAAGUUUUAAGAAAUUCUGUGCAGCGGUUUGAGUGGAGUUGCACUUACAAAAAAAACAGGACUGAUGGUCUGGGUGACGGACCGACUGACUGACACGAACCAGUCAAAAACAUAUCCCUAGCAACUUUGUUGUGUGGGGGUAUAUUCAAGUUUCAAAGGAAAAGUCAGUUUUCAUAACUUAUGGUUCCUCAUUCCUUUUCAUGCAUUCAUGGA